CCCUUAGAUGUUCUGGGCUGCACGCGUGCUACACUGAUUAUUUCAACAAGUGUUUUAACUGGAGAGUUCGCGUAAUCCUGAAAUGUUAUCGUGAUGGGAGUAGAGUAUUGUAUUUGUUAAUCUUUAACGAGGAAUUCCUAGUAAGUGUAGGUUUAUAAGUUGUUCUGAUUACGUCCCUGCCCUUUGUACACACCGCCCGUCACUCCUACCGAUUGAUUGAUCCGGUGAAUUACAUAGAAUUUUGCGUUUUACAUGACGGAAGACGAAGUGUUUUAAACCUUAUCAUUUAGAGGAAGGAGAAGUCGUAACA
rnacentral:rRNA from 1 species